rnacentral:rRNA from 1 species
AGUGAACGCUGGCGGUAGGCCUAACACAUGCAAGUCGAACGGCAGCACAGGAGAGCUUGCUCUCUGGGUGGCGAGUGGCGGACGGGUGAGGAAUACAUCGGAAUCUGCCCAGUCGUGGGGGAUAACGUAGGGAAACUUACGCUAAUACCGCAUACGACCUUCGGGUGAAAGAGGGGGAUCGCAAGACCUCUCGCGAUUGGAUGAGCCGAUGUCGGAUUAGCUAGUUGGCGGGGUAAUGGCCCACCAAGGCGACGAUCCGUAGCUGGCCUGAGAGGAUGAUCAGCCACACUGGAACUGAGACACGGUCCAGACUCCUACGGGAGGCAGCAGUGGGGAAUAUUGGACAAUGGGCGCAAGCCUGAUCCAGCCAUACCGCGUGGGUGAAGAAGGCCUUCGGGUUGUAAAGCCCUUUUGUUGGGAAAGAAAUCUUUCAGGCUAAUACCCUGGGAGGAUGACGGUACCCAAAGAAUAAGCACCGGCUAACUUCGUG